rnacentral:lncRNA from 1 species
AUAUAUAUCAUCAACAACUUCAUACCAUAUCAACACAAUAAUAUUAUAAAUUAAUUAACAUAUAUAUAUAUAUCUACUAUUUAUUAACAACAAAUUAAUUCAUAUAUAUUAUCAAUUCAAAUCAUCAACCAAAUCGAUCAACACAUAUAUAUAUACAUCCAACGUACUCAAAAAUUAAUCAACUCAAUCACAAUCAAAAUCAAUAAACUCAAUCACACUUAAAAUCGAUCAACUCAAAUAAAACUCAAUUAAUCAACAUAUAUAUACAUAUACGUACCUAUAUAUGGCUCCACAAACUAAUUAUGGACAGAUUUCGACAACACCCAAACUUUUUCUCCCGUUUUUUCUUCUCCCAUUUUUUUUCCCAGAUGAGCUGCUGCUGUCCAGAUCCGCAAAUAUAAAGCACUUUAGCCGACGUCAUAUUAAUUUCGUCGGCUAAACUUUUAAAUAUUUCGUCGGCCAUAGUUUGUGAACUUUAGCCGACGAAAAUUUUUUUUCGUCGGCUAAAGUUUACCAUAGCCGACGAAAAUUUAACUUAGCCGAUGAAAGAUAAUUUCGUCGGCUAAAGUGGACUUUAGCCGACGAAAAAAUGCUUCGUCGGCCUGGUUUUUUUUUUUUCGUCGGCUAAAGCCUUUCUUCUGGUAGUGAAAGGAGACUAUCGCACUUAUAAAGAACAAAAAUGUGAAUUUGAUAUGUUAAACCAUUUUCUCAAAGGACAUGGCUCUAGCGAGAAAAGUACGAAACUUGACUUCUAAGGUACUUCGAUCGGUUCAAACCAAAAGGAAUCUUUGAUUAUUCCUUGUUGAUUGCAUAAUAUAUAUAUAUAUAUAUAUGAAUUUAAUUGGUCUAAACUGUUGAGACGUCAGAAAUAAUCAAAGAUUCCCCAAUUUAAAAAGUCAAAUAGCUGACCUUUCUGAGACAUUCCCCCCACUCCAUAUCACCCAUAUAAAACCCCCCUACCCUAGCUCCUUCCCACACCCACCACCAUUCUCAAAUCCUCCACUAACCAAAAUCAUGAAGCCACUUCUUUCCUAGUCAAUCUCCUCCUACCUCUUUCAGCCUCUCCUCUCUCUGAAAACCUCACAGA